GAGUUUGAUCGUGGCUCAGAUUGAACGCUGGCGGCAUGCCUUACACAUGCAAGUCGAACGGCAGCAUGAUCUAGCUUGCUAGAUUGAUGGCGAGUGGCGAACGGGUGAGUAAUACAUCGGAACGUGCCCUGUAGUGGGGAUAACUAGUCGAAAGAUUAGCUAAUACCGCAUACGACCUGAGGGUGAAAGUGGGGGACCGCAAGGCCUCAUGCUAUAGGAGCGGCCGAUGUCUGAUUAGCUAGUUGGUGGGUAAAGGCCCACCAAGGCGACGAUCAGUAGCUGGUCUGAGAGGACGAUCAGCCACACUGGGACUGAGACACGGCCCAGACUCCUACGGGAGGCAGCAGUGGGGAAUUUUGGACAAUGGGCGAAAGCCUGAUCCAGCAAUGCCGCGUGUGUGAAGAAGGCCUCGG
rnacentral:rRNA from 1 species